AUACGGAGGGGGCAAGCGUUACUCGGAAUCACUGGGCGUAAAGCGCGCGCAGGCGGCUUGAUAAGUUGGAUGUGAAAGCCUACGGCUCAACCGUAGAACUGCAUCCAAAACUGUCAAGCUAGAGUCUGGGAGGGGAAGAUGGAAUUAGUUGUGUAGGCGUAAAAUCCGUAGAGAUAACUAGGAAUACCAAAAGCGAAGGCAAUCUUCUGGAACACUACUGACGCUGAGGCGCGAAGGCGUGGGGAGCAAACAGGAUUAGAAACCCCAGUAGUCC
rnacentral:rRNA from 1 species